UACAUUUUCCUAGACAUAUAUUUUUUUCCUUUGAAAAAUUUCUAAAGUUUUUAGUAACUUCAAAAUAAAAGUGAAUCAAACUAAACAAGAUUGAUAGCAACUACUCUCAUAAGUGCCUAGAGCCUAUAUCAUGUAUUGAAAUUACUUGGGACCUCAUAAAUUUGACAUGCAAGCUCAAGAACAGGGUCACCUAGGCAGCAAAAAUUUGCAAUGAAUAAAGCACUGGAACAAAAACUAAUUGGAUCAUUGGAGGAGUCACAUACCAAGGAACAAUCUCCCAAAGCAGUUUUGUGAAUGGAGCUUUGAGCAAGGAGAUUGAAAAUCGCAGCAAAAUGAGCUAGAACUCGUGCUUGAGCUGGAUGGGGAUUUUUUGGGGAGGAAGAUGGAGUGUGUUGGUGCAGGAAUAAGUGGAGGGGUGCCACCGUGGGCCCACAAGGCAGGGGGCGCGCCCAGGAAGAGUGGGCACGCACUGGACCCUCGUGGCCAGGUGCUUUCCCCCUGCUGUGUUCUCAGUGCCUAAAAUCCUCAAAUAUUCCAUAAAGAAUCAUACUAAAUUUGCAGGGAGAACUUUUAUUUUUGGGAUAUUUUUUUUAUUGCAUGGAUAAUUCAGAAAAUAGACAGAUAAUACUAUUUUUUCUUUAUUUAUUCUAAAUAACAGAAAGUAAAAAGAGGGUACAGAAGGUUGUGCCUUCUAGUUUCAUCCGUCUCAUGAUCAUCAAAAGGAAUCCACUAACAAGGUUGAUCAAGUCUUGUUAACAAACUCAUUCCGAAUAACAUGGAACCGGAGACAUUUCGAAUAACACUAGGUUACCUCAACGGGGAUAUGAACAUCCCCAACAAUAAGAAUAUCAUACUUUUUCUUGACAGUAGGAAGAGGAAAUUCAAAACCUCCAAUAAUGAUACUUGGAAUUUUUCCAAUAGAAUUGAUGCUGUGAACUUGAGGUUGUUUCCUCGGAAAGUGUACCGUAUGCUCAUUACCAUUAACAUGAAAAGUGAAAUUGCCUUUGUUGCAAUUAAUAACAACCCCUGUAGUAUUCAAAAAGGGUCUACCAAGGAUAAUGGACAUACUAUCGUCCUCGGGAAUAUCAAGAAUGACAAAGUCCGUUAAGAUAGUGACAUUUGCAACCACAACAGGCACAUCCUCACAAAUACCGACAAGUAUAUCAGUUGAUUUAUCGGCCAUUUGCAACGAUAUUUCAGUAGGUGUCAACUUAUUCAAUUCAAGUCUACAAUAUAAAGAGAGAGGCAUAACACUAACUCCGGCUCCAAGAUCACAUAAAGCAGUUUUAACAUAGUUUAUUUUAAUGGAGCAAGGUAUUGUUGGUACCCCUGGAUCUCCAAGUUUCUUUGAUAUUCCACCUUUAAAAGUGUAAUUAGCAACCAUGGUGGAAAUUUCAGCUUCCGGUAUCUUUCUUUUAUUUGUAAUGAUAUCCUUCAUAUAUUUAGAAUAAGGCUUUACUUUAAGCAUAUCAGUUAAGCGCAUACGUAAGAAGAUAGGCCUAAUCAUUUUAGCAAAGCGCUCAAAGUCCUCAUCAUCCUUUGUCUUGUAUGGUUUAGGAGGAAAAUGAUGGAAAUAUGCCCUAGAGGCAAUAAUAAAGUUAUUAUUUAUUUCCUUAUUUCAUGAUAAAUGUUUAUUAUUCAUGCUAGAAUUGUAUUAACCAGAAACAUAAUACAUGUGUGAAUACAUAGACAAACAUAGUGUCACUAGUAUGCCUCUACUUGACUAGCUCGUGAAUCAAAGAUGGUUAAGUUUCCUAGCCAUAGACAUGAGUUGUCAUUUGAUUAAUGGGAUCACAUCAUUAGGAGAAUGAUGUGAUUGACAUGACCCAUUCCGUUAGCCUAGCACUUUAAAUCAUUUAGUAUGUUGCUAUUGCUUUCUUCAUGACUUAUACACGUUCCUGUAACUAUGAGAUUACGCAACUCCCGUUUGCCGGAGGAACACUUUGGGUGCUACCAAACAUCACAACGUAACUGGGUGAUUAUAAAGGAGUACUACAGGUGUGUCCAAAGGUACAUGUUGGGUUGGCGUAUUUCGAGAUUAGGUUUUGUCACUCCGAUUGCCGGAGAGGUAUCUCUGGGCCCUCUCGGUAAUGCACAUCACUUAAGCCUUGCAAGCAUUGUAACUAAUGAGUUAGUUGCAAGAUGAUGUAUUACGAAACGAGUAAAGAGACUUGCCGGUAACGAGAUUGAACUAGGUAUUGAGAUACCGACUAUCAAAUCUCGGGCAAGUAACAUACCGAUGACAAAGGGAACAACGUAUGUUGUUAUGCGGUUUGACCGAUAAAGAUCUUCGUAGAAUAUGUGGGAGCCAAUAUGGGCAUCUAGGUCCCGCUAUUGGUUAUUGACCGGAAACGUGUUUCGGUCAUGUCUACAUAGUUCUCGAACCCGUAGGGUCCGCACGCUUAAGGUUUCGAUGACAGUUUUAUUAUGAGUUUAUGAGUUUUGAUGUACCAAAGGAGUUCGGAGUCCCGGAUGAGAUCGGGGACAUGACGAGGAGUCUCGAAAUGGUCGAGACGUAAAGAUCGAUAUAUUGGACGACUAUAUUCGGAGUUCGGAAAGGUUCCGAGUGAUUCGGGUAUUUUUUGGAGUACCGGAGAGUUACGGGAAUUCGUAUUGGGCCUCAAUGAGCCAUACGGGAAAGGAGAGGAAGGGCCAAAAGGGUGGCCGCACCCCUCCCCUUGGACUAGUCCGAAUUGGACUAGGGAGGGGGGGCGCCCCCUUCCUUCCUUCUCCUUCUCUCUUCCCUUUCUUUCUCUCCUACUCCUACUACAUGGAAGGGUUCCUAGUUCUACUAGGAAAGGGGGAAUCCUACUCCCGGUGAGCGUAGGACUCCCCUAGGGCGCGCCAUAGAGAGGGCCGGCCCUCCUCCUCCUCCGCUCCUUUAUAUACGGGGGCAGGGGGCACCCCAUGACACACAAGUUGAUCUACGGAUCGUUCCUUAGCCGUGUGCGGUGCCUCCCUCCACCAUAUUCCACCUCGGUCAUAUCGUCGCGGAGUUUAGGCGAAGCCCUGCGCCGGUAGAACAUCAUCACUGUCACCACGCCGUCGUGCUGAUGGAACUCAUCCCCGACGCUUUGCUGGAUUGAAGCCCGGGGAACGUCAUCGAGCUGAACGUGUGCUGAACUCGGAGGUGCCGUACGUUCGGUGCUUGGAUCGAUCGGAUCGUGAAGACGUACGACUACAUCAACCGCGUUGUCAUAACGCUUCCGCAUACGGUCUACGAGGGUACGUGGACAUCACUCUCCCCUCUCGUUGCUAUGCCAUCACCAUGAUCUUGCGUGUGGGUUGGAAAUUUUUUGAAAUUACUACGUUCCCCAACAGUGGCAUCCGAGCCUAGGUUUUAUGCGUUGAUGUUAUAUGCACGAGUAGAACACAAGUGAGUUGUGGGCGAUACAAGUCAUACUGCUUACCAGCAUGUCAUACUUUGGUUCAGCGGUAUUGUUGGAUGAAGCGGCCCGGACCGAAAUUACGCGUACGCUUACGCGAGACUGGUUUUACUGCCGUGCUUUGCACACAGGUGACUAGCGGGUGUCUGUUUCUCCAACUUUAGUUGAACCGAGUGUGGAUACUCUCGGUCCUUGCGAAGGUUAAAACAGCACUAACUUGACGAGCUAUCAUUGUGGUUUUGAUGCGUAGGUAAGAACGGUUCUUGCUCAGCCCGUAGCAGCCACGUAAAACUUGCAACAACAAAGUAGAAGAUGUCUAACUUGUUUUUGCAGGGCAUGUUGUGAUGUGAUAUGGUCAAGACGUGAUGCUAUAUUUUAUUGUAUGAGAUGAUCAUGUUCUAUAACCGAAGUUAUCGGCAACUGGCAGGAGCCAAACGGUUGUCGCUUUAUUGUAUGAAAUGCAAACGCCCUGUAAUUGCUUUACUUUAUCACUAAGCGGUAGCGAUAGUCGUAGAAGCAAUAGGUGGCGUAAACGACAACGAUGCUACGAUGGAGAUCAAGGUGUCGCACCGGUGACGAUGGUGAUCAGACGGUGCUUCGGAGAUGGAGAUCACAAGCACAAGAUGAUGAUGGCCAUAUCAUAUCACUUAUAUUGAUUGCAUGUGAUGUUUAUCCUUUAUGCAUCUUAUCUUGCUUUGAUUGACGGUAGCAUUUUAAGAUGAUCUCUCACUAAUUAUCAAGAAGUGUUCUCCCUAAGUAUGCACCGUUGCGAAAGUUCUUCGUGUUGAGACACCACGUGAAGAUCGGGUGUGAUAGGCUCUACGAUCAAAUACAACGGGUGCAAAACAGUUGCACACGCGGAAUACUCAGGUUAAACUUGACGAGCCUAGCAUAUACAGAUAUGGCCUUGGAACACGGAGACCGAAAGGUCGAGCGUGAAUCAUAUAGUAGAUAUGAUCAACAUAGUGAUGUUCACCAUUGAAAACUACUCCAUCUCACGUGAUGAUCAGACAUGGUUUAGUUGAUUUGGAUCACGUGAUCACUUAGAUGACUAGAGAGAUAUCUGUCUAAGUGGGAGUUCUUAAGUAAUAUGAUUAAUUGAACUUAAAUUUAUCAUGAACUUAGUUCUGGUAGUAUUUUGCAAAUUAUGUCGUAGAUUAAUAGCUCGCGUUGUUGCUUUCAUAUGUUUAUUUUGAUAUGUUCCUAGAGAAAAUUGUGUUGAAAAAUGUUAGUAGCAAUGAUGCGGAUUGGAUCCGUGAUCUGAGGUUUAUCCUCAUUGCUGCAUAGAAGUAUUAUGUCCUUAAUGCACCGCUAGGUGACAGACCUAUUGCAGGAGCAGAUGCAGACGUUAUGAACGUCUGGCUAGCUCAAUAUGAUGACUACUUGAUAGUUUAGUGCACCAUGCUUAACGGCUUAGAAUCGGGACUUCAAAGACGUUUUGAACGUCAUGGACCAUAUAAGAUGUUCCAGAUAUUGAAGUUAAUAUUUCAAGAAAAUACCCGAGUUGAGAGAUAUGAAGUCUCCAACAAGUUCUAUAGCUAAAAGAUGGAGGAGAAUCACUCAACUAGUGAGCAUGUGCUCAGAUUGUCUGGGUACUUCAAUCGCUUGAAUCAAGUGGGAGUUAAUCUUCCAGAUAAGAUAGUGAUUGACAGAAUUCUCUAGUCACCAUCACUAAGUUACUAGAACUUCGUGAUGAACUAUAGUAUGCAAGGGAUGAAAAAAAACGAUUCCCGAGCUCUUCGUGAUGUUGAAAUCGACGAAGGUAGAAAUUAAGAAAGAACAUCAAGUGUUGAUGAUUGACAAGACCGCUAGUUUCAAGAGAAGGCCAAAGGGAAAUAAAGGGAACUUCAAGUGGAAAGACAAGCAAGUUGUCACUCCUGCGAAGAAGCCCAAAGCUGGACCAUAGCCUGAAACUGAGUGCUUACACUGCAAAGUAAAUAGUCACUGGAAGCGGAAAUGCCCUGAAUAUUUGAUAGAUAAGAAGGAUGGCAAAGUGAACAAGGGUAUAUUUGAUAUACGGGUUAUUAAUGUGUGCCUUGCUAGUGUUUAUAGUAGCCACUGAGUAUUUGAUACUUGUUCGGUUGCUAAGAUUAGUAACUCGAAACAGGAGUUCCAGAAUAAACAGAGACUAGUUGAAGGGGAAGUGACGAUGAGUGUUGGAAGUAGUACCAAGAUUGAUAUGAUCAUCAUCGCACAAUCCCUAUACUUUCGGGAUUAGUAAACCUAAAUAAAUGUUAUUUGGCGUUUGCGUUGAGCAUGAAUAUGAUUUGAUCAUGUUUAUAGCAAUACGGUUAUUCAUUUAAAAUCAGAGAAUAAUUGCUGUUCUGUUUACAUGAAUAAAACCAUCAAUGGUCAUACACCCAAUGAAAAUAGUUUGUUGGAUCUCGAUCGUGAUGAUGCACAUAUUCAUAAUAUUGAUGCCAAAAGAUGCAAAGUUAAUAAUGAUGGUGCAACUUAUUUGUGGCACUACCGUUUGGGUCAUAUCGGUGUAAAGCGCAUGAAGAAACUCCAUAAAGAUGGACUUUUGGAAUCACUUGGUUAUGAAUCAUUUGAUGCUUGCAAACCAUGCCUUUUGGGCAAGAUGACUAAAACUCCGUUCUCCAGAACAAUGGAACGAGCUACUAACUUGUUGGAAAUAAUACAUACCGAUGUAUGCGAUCCAAUGAGUAUUGAUGCUCGUGGCACGUAUCGUUAUUUUCUGACCUUCACAAGAUGAUUUGAGCAGAUAUGGGUAUAUCUACUUGAUGAAACAUAAGUCUGAAAUAGUUGAAAGGUUCAAAGAAUUUCAGAGUGAAGUGGAAAAAUCAUCGUAACUAGAAAAUAAAGUUUCUGCGAUCUGAUCGCGGAGACGAAUAUUUGAGUUACGAGUUUGGUCUUCAAUUAAAACAAUGUGAAAUAGUUUCACAACUCACGCCACCUGGAACACCACAAUGUUAUGGUGUGUCCGAAUGUCGUAACCGCACUUUAUUGGAUAUGGUGCGAUCUAUGAUGUCUCUUACUGAUUUACCACCAUCAUUUUGGGGUUAUGCAUUAGAGACUGCUGCAUUCACGUUAAAAGGGCACCAUCUAAAUCCGUUGAUACGACACCAUAUGAACUGUGGUUUAGCAGUAAACCUAAGCUUACGUUUCUUAAAUUUUGGGGUUGUGAUGCUUAUUUGAAAAAGUUUCAACCUGAUAAGCUCGAACCCAAAUCGGAGAAGUGCGUCUUCAUAGAAUACCCAAAGGAAACUAUUGGGUACACCUUCUAUCACAGAUCCGAAGGCAAGUUAUUCGUUGCUAAGAUGGAUCCUUUCUAGAGAAGAAGUUUCUCUCGAAAGAAGUGAGUGGGAGGAAAGUAGAACUUGAUGAGGUAAUUGUACCUUCUCCCUUAUUGGAAAGUAGUUCAUCACAGAAAUCAGUUCCAGUGAUUCCUACACCAAUUAGUGAGGAAGUUAAUGAUGAUGAUCAUGAAACUUCAGAUCAAGUUGCUACCAAACCUCGUAGGUCUUCCAGAUUAAGAUCCGCACCAGAGUGGUACGGUAAUCAUGUUCUGGAAGUCAUGUUACUAGACAAUGAUGAACCUACAAACUAUGAGGAAGCGAUGAUGAGCCCAGAUUCCACGAAAUGGCUUGAGGCCAUAAAAUUUGAGAUAUGAUCCAUGUAUGAGAACAAAGUAUGGACUUGGAUUAACUUGCUCGAUGAUCAGCAAGCCAUGUUAAAUAAAUGGAUUUUCAAGAAGAAGACAAACACUGAUAGUAGUGUUACUAUCUACUAAGCUCGACUUGUUGCGAAAGGUUUUCAACAAGUUUAAGGUGUUGAAUACGAUGAGUUUUUCUCACUCGUAUCGAAGCUUAAGUUUGUUUGAAUCAUGUUAGCAAUUGCCAGAUUUUAUGAAAUCUGGCAAAUGGAUGUCAAAACUGCAUUCCUUAAUGGAUUUAUUAAAGAAGAGUUGUAUAUGAUGCAACCAGAAAGUUUUUGUCAAUCCUAAAGAUGCUAACAAAGUGUGCAAGCUCCAGCAAUCCAUCAAUGGACGGGUGCAAGCAUCUCGGAGUUGGAAUAUACGCUUUGAUGAGUUGAUCAAAGCAUAUGGUUUUAUACAGACUUUUGGAAAGGCCUAUAUUUACAAGAAAGUGAGUGGGAGCACUACAGCAUUUCUGAUAAGUAUAUGUGAAUGACAUAUUGUUGAUCGGAAAUAAUGUAGAAUUAUUCUGCAAAGCAUAAAGGAGUGUUUUAAAGGAGUUCUUUAAAAGAAAGACCUCUGUAAAAGCUACUUACAUAUUGAGCAUCAAGAUCUAUUGAGAUAGAUCAAGACGCUUGAUAAGAUUUUCAAUGAGUACAUACCUUGGCAAGGUUUUGAAAUAGUUCAAGAUGGAACAGUCCAAGAAAGAUUUCUUGCCUGUGUUGCAAAGGUGUGAAAUUGAGUAAGACUCAAAUCCCGACCACGGCAGAAAAUAGAAAAGAGAAUGAAAGUCAUUCCCUAUGCCUCAGUCAUAGGUUCUAUAAAGUAUGCUAUGUUAUGUACCAGACCUAUUGUAUACCUUGCUCUGAAUUUGACAAGGGAGUACAAUAGUGAUCUAGGAGUAGAUCACUGGACAUUGGUCAAGAAUAUCCUUAGUGAGGACUAAGGAAAUAUUUCUCGAUUAUGGAGGUGAUAAAAGAGCCUGUCGUAAAGAGUUACAUCGGUGCAAGCUUUCACACCGAUCCAGAUGACUCUAAGUCUCAAUCUGGAUACAUACUGAAAGUGGGAGCAAUUAGCUAGAGUAGCUCCGUGCAGAGCAUUGUAGACAUAGAAUAUUUGCAAAAUACAUGCGGCUCUAAAUGUGACAGAAUCGUUGACUAAGCUUCUCUCACGAGCAAAACAUGAUCAUACCUUUGUACUCUUUGGGUGUUAAUCACAUAGCAAUGUGAACUAGAUUAUUGACUCUAGUAAACCCUUUGGGUGUUGGUCACAUGAAGAUGUGAACUAUGGGUGUUAAUCAUAUACAGAUAUGAAUAUUGAUGUUAAAUCACAUGGCGAUGUGAACUAGAUUAUUGACUCUAGUGCAAGUGGGAGACUGAAGGAAAUAUGCCCUAGAGGCAAUAAUAAAGUUAUUAUUUAUUUCCUUAUUUCAUGAUAAAUGUUUAUUAUUCAUGCUAGAAUUGUAUUAACCGGAAAUAUAAUACAUGUGUGAAUACAUAGACAAACAUAGUGUCACUAGUAUGCCUCUACUUGACUAGCUCGUGAAUCAAAGAUGGUUAAGUUUCCUAGCCAUAGACAUGAGUUGUCAUUUGAUUAACGGGAUCACAUCAUUAGGAGAAUGAUGUGAUUGACAUGACCCAUUCCGUUAGCCUAGCACUUGAUUGUUUAGUAUGUUGCUAUUGCUUUCUUCAUGACUUAUACAUGUUCCUGUAACUAUGAGAUUACGCAACUCCCGUUUGCCGGAGGAACACUUUGGGUGCUACCAAACGUCACAACGUAACUGGGUGAUUAUAAAGGAGUACUACAUGUGUCUCCAAAGGUACAUGUUGGGUUGGCGUAUUUCGAGAUUAGGUUUUGUCACUCCGAUUGUCGGAGAGGUAUCUCUGGGCCCUCUCGGUAAUGCACAUCACUUAAGCCUUGCAAGCAUUGUAACUAAUGAGUUAGUUGCAAGAUGAUGUAUUACGAAACGAGUAAAGAGACUUGCCGGUAACGAGAUUGAACUAGGUAUUGAGAUACCGACGAUCAAAUCUUGGGCAAGUAACAUACCGAUGACAAAGGGAACAACGUAUGUUGUUAUGCGGUUUGACCGAUAAAGAUCUUCGUAGAAUAUGUGGGAGCCAAUAUGGGCAUCCAGGUCCCGCUAUUGGUUAUUGACCGGAAACGUGUUUCGGUCAUGUCUACAUAGUUCUCGAACCCGUAGGGUCCGCACGCUUAAGGUUUCGAUGACAAUUUUAUUAUGAGUUUAUGAGUUUUGAUGUACCAAAGGAGUUCGGAGUCCCGGAUGAGAUCGGGGACAUGACGAGGAGUCUCGAAAUGGUCGAGACGUAAAGAUCGAUAUAUUGGACGACUAUAUUUGGAGUUUGGAAAGGUUCCGAGUGAUUCGGGUAUUUUUUGGAGUACCGAAGAGUUACAGGAAUUCGUAUUGGGCCUCAAUGGGCCAUACGGGAAAGGAGAGAAAGGGCCAAAAGGGUGGCCGCAUCCCUCCCCUUGGACUAGUCCGAAUUGGACUAGGGAGGGGGGCGCCCCCUUCCUUCCUUCUCCUUCUCUCUUCCCUUUCCUUCUCUCCUACUCCUACUACAUGGAAGGGUUCCUAGUUCUACUAGGAAAGGGGGAAUCCUACUCCCGGUGGGAGAAGGACUCCCCUAGGGCGCGCCAUAGAGAGGGCCGGCCCUCCCCCUCCUCCACUCCUUUAUAUACGGGGGCAGGGGGCACCCCAUGACACACAAGUUGAUCUAUGGAUCGUUCCUUAGCCGUGUGCGGUGCCCCUCUCCACCAUAUUCCACCUCGGUCAUAUCGUCGCGGAGUUUAGGCGAAGCCCUGCGCCGGUAGAACAUCAUCACCAUCACCACGCCGUCGUGCUGACGGAACUCAUCCCCGACGCUUUGCUGGAUUGAAGCCCGGGGAACGUCAUCGAGCUGAACGUGUGCUGAACUCGGAGGUGCCGUACGUUCGGUGCUUGGAUCGGUCGGAUCGUGAAAACGUACGACUACAUCAACCGCGUUGUCAUAACGCUUCCGCAUACGGUCUAUGAGGGUACGUGGACAUCACUCUCCCCUCUCGUUGCUAUGCCAUCACCAUGAUCUUGCGUGUGCGUAGGAUUUUUUUUGAAAUUACUAUGUUCCCCAACAGAAAAGGCAUGGGUUUCUGAACCCAUGGUUCUCUUUCUUUACUGUGCUUCCUAGCAACAAAGUCUCUUUUAUCAUAUCAUUGAUUCUUUGAUUGUGGGUUAUCAAGAUCAACAACAGGUUCAAUCUCCACAUCAAUAUUAUUGCUAGGUUGAGCAUCAACAUGAACAUUAUCAUUAACAUUAUCACUAGGUUCAUGUUCAUCACCUGAUUGUGUUUCAGCAUCAGAAAUAGAAUUAUCAUUAGGAUUCUCAGGUGUGUCUACAACAGGUUCACUAGAAGCAUGCAAAGUCCUAUCAUUUUUCUUUUUCUUCUUUUUAGAAGGACUAGGUGCAUCUACAUUAUUUCUCUGAGAAUCUUGCUCAAUUCUCUUAGGGUGGCCUUCAGGAUACAAAGGUUCCUGAGUCAUUCUACCAGUUCUAGUAGCCACUCUAACGGCAAAGUCAUGUUUACUAUUUAAUUCAUCGAGCAAAUCACUUUGAGCUUUAAGUACUUGUUCAGCUUGAGUGGUAACCAUAGAAGCAUAUUUACUAAUGAGUUUAAGUUCACCUUUAACUCUAGCCAUAUAAUGACUCAAGCAUCCUAUCAUGAAAGCAUUACUCUUUAAUUCUCUACCAACAUAAGCAUUAAAACUUUCUUGUCUAGCCAUAAAGUCAUCAAAUUUAUCUAAACAUUGGCUAGGAAAUUUAAUAGACGGGAUUUUAACUUUAUCAUAUAUAGAGAGAGAAUUUACCUUUACUACCUGUGUCGGGUUAUCAAUACAAUGUGUUUCUUUAAUAGGCGGUAUAUUAAGACCAUGUAUUUCUUCAAUAGGAGGUAAUUUCUUAACAUCUUCAGCUUUAAUACCUUUUUCUUUCAUUGAUUUCUUUGCCUGUUGCAUAUCUUCAGGACUGAGAAAUAGAACACCCCUCUUCUUCGGAGUUGGUUUAGGAGUAGGCACUACAAGAAAUAUGUCAACUAGUGACCUUCUAUCAGUGACCCUGGAAGAAUUGGUCAUAGAUCUAUGACCAUUUCAGACCAAUUGGUCAAAAGCUGUUCGGGGGCUCCAAACCCUAAACCAUUGCGACCAUUUUGGUCAGAAGGUCAUAAUUUCCUUACACGAAAUGGUCACAAAGCAAACAGUGCUAGUCCGCUUCCUUAUUUCUAGUUAUUAAUGACCAAUAUAGAUGGUCAUAGCCUUGUAGAUUGUGGUGGGUUGUGAUGACUAGGCGCCAUCUCAUCAGUUUUGCCUAUGUGUCAUGUCCAUGUGGCAGUUUUUGCCCUAGGUUGUGAAGAAACCUAUAUUUCUGUUAUUCCAAAAAUUCCCAAAAAAUUCUCAUAAAUGUUUUGGACCCUAUCUUCAUCAAAUAUGUCAAAAACAUUCCUUGCCUAGUUCAAAAAUAAUUCGAAAAUAUUCAUUUUCCUAUUCUGUUCAGAGCAGCACUUUGUGAAGGAAGUACCACUUUGGCAUGUCCAAAUGGUAUCCAUUUUCUACAGUGCUUUCCUAUGCCCAAAUAACCAUCCUCCACCAAAUGCCAGCUCAAUCCAUUCAUUAUUUUGAACCCAGCUUCAACAUUCGUAUUUAUGUCCAGUGUGGUACUUUGUAAAGCAAGUACCACCUAGGCUCCUCCUUUUGAGGUGAAAAUUUGUGAAGACAGUCUUCUUAGUAACUGAUCAUCCUCAGCCAAAAUUCACGCCCAUUAGCCAUGUGCAUUUCCCGUACCGCAAAUCAAACACUUGGCUGCUUAUUCAUGUUUGAGCAUCGAUCGGUCUCCUCGUGAGAAUCUUAUGUUGUGAUUUUCUUCCUAGCACCUACCUGGGGAGUGCCCAACCCACUAGACAUGACUAGGCCGCCCAGAACACAUGGCAACGCCACGGUCACGCAGUGACCACGCGGCGGGCGUGCGAGCUUACGUGCUCUAGAGUUGGGGCCCUCGUCCACCGUCCAAACCUCGAUAUCUCGCCAUCAAACCAUGUAUUUCUGAUUAAAUAGAUACUUAUUUACCUAGAAAUGAUUUUUUGAAAAAAUAAAGAGCAAACUAUGAGGCAGCUGCAGUUCAAAUUUGACCCGCUUCCAACUGAAUCGACGGGAAUUUGUCUUUUUCACCAGAGGUGGAUCAAAUAUUUUGACACCCAACCAUUUUGUCAAUUGUGCAUUAAAUAUGGCCUAGUAUUUUAUAAAAUUGAUUAGGUCCAAUUUUGCAACAAAUAUAUGGUAGGUCCUUCACAAAAAAAAACUCAUUUCAGGCACUCAGAAAAUGGAAAAUGGUUUUUUUGUCCAAAUAAAAUGAAAACUUCCUUAGGCAACAUUGUUUGCCAUUCCAAUAUGCACCCUUGUGCACAAUAUGAGAUCAUUUGAACAAACUAUGCCAUGAAUGUGGCCAUAAGAUUGAUCAUUUGGCUUGAAGGCCAUGAAUCUUCACACUUGAUAGCUCAUUUCUGAGAACCCUUUUUUAAAAUAAUUACCCUACUACAAGUUUAUUAUUUUUCCUGGAAAAUUGGUCACAUAUAAUGACACAAUGCGAAGGUUUUCCAAUUUUUUGAUUUUCUUGGAAUUUUUUAUGCCCGUUUCAAAAUGCGGUCAAAACGGCGGGCUUGACCGUUCCUAGCUAGUGGUUGAAUCUUGGAAUUUUUUUGGUGUUUCUAUGAUUAAAUAGAUACUUAUGUACCUAUAAAUGAUUUUUCGAAAAAAUAAAGAGCAAACUAUGAGGCAGCUACAGUUCAAAUUUGACCCGUUUCCAGCUGAAUCGACGACAAUUUGUCUUUUUCACCAGAGCUGGAUCAAAACUUUUUUCACCCAACCAUUUUGUCAAUUGUGCAUUAUAUAUGUCCUAUUAUUUUAUAAAAAUGAUUAGGUCCAUUUUUGCAACAAUUAUUUGAUAGGUCCUUCACAAAAAAACCUCCUUUUGGGCACUCGGAAAAUGAAAAAUGAAUUUUCCGUGCAAAGAAAAUGAAAACUACCUUAGGCAACAUUGUUUGGAAUUCCAAGAUGCACCCUUGUGCACAAUAUUAGAUCAUUUGAACAAACCAUGCCAUGAAUGUGGCCAUAAGAUCGAUCAUUUGGCUUGAAAGCCAUGAAUCGUCACGCAUGAUAGCUCAUUUCUGAGAACACUUUUUUAAAAUAAUUACUAUAUUACAAGUUUAUUAUUUUUCCUGGAAACUUGGUCACAUAUAAUGACACAAUGCGAAGGUUUUCUAAAUUUUUGAUUUUUUUUUAAUUUUCUAUGCCCAUUUCAAAAUGCGGUCAAAACGGCGGGCUUGACCGUUCCUAUCUAGUGGUUGACUCUUGGAAUUUUUUUGGUGUUUCUCCGAUUAAAUAGAUAAUUAUUUACCUAUAAAUGAUUUUUGGAAAAAAUAAAGAGCAAACUAUGAGGCAGCUUCAGUUCAAAUUUGACCCGCUUCCAACUGAAUCAGCGGGAAUUUGUCUUUUUCACCAGAGGUGGAUCAAACUUUUGACACCCAACCAUUUGGUCAAUUGUGCAUUAAAUAUGGCCUAAUAUUUUAUAAAAUUUAUUAGGUCCAAUUUUGCAACAAAUAUAUGGUAUGUCCUUCACAAAAAAAACUCAUUUCAGGCACUCUGAAAAUGGAAAAUGGUUUUUUCGUCCAAAGAAAAUGAAAACUUCCUUAGGCAACAUUGGUUGCCAUUACAAUAUGCACCCUUUUGCACAAUAUUAGAUCAUUUGAACAAACUAUACCAUGAAUGUGGCCAUAAGAUUGAUCAUUUGGCUUGAAAGCCAUUGAUCUCCACACGUGAUAGCUCGUUUUUGAGAACACUUAAUUAAAAUAAUUCCCGUAUUACAAGUUUAUUAUUUUUCCUGGGAACUUGGCCACAUAUAAUGACACAAUGCGAAGGUUUCCCAUUUUUUUGAUUUUUUUGAAUUUUUUUUGCUCGUUUCAAAAUGCGGUCAAAACGGCGGGCUUGACCGUUCCUAUCUAGUGGUUGAAUCUUGGAUUUUUUUUUGGUGUUUCUCUGAUUAAAUAGAUACUUAUGUACCUAGAAAUGAUUUUUGAAAAAAAUAAAUAGCAAACUAUGAGGCAGCUUCAGUUCAAAUUUGACCCGUUUCCAGCUGAAUCGACGAUAAUUUGUCUUUUUCACCAGAGCGGGAUCAAAACUUUUUUCACCCAACCAUUUUGUCAAUUGUGCAUUAUAUAUGUCCUAUUAUUUUAUAAAAAUGAUUAGGUCCAUUUUUGCAACAAUUAUUUGGUAGGUCCUUCACAAAAAAAACCUCCUUUUGGGCACUCGGAAAAUGAAAAAUGAAUUUUCCGUGCAAAGAAAAUGAAAACUACCUUAGGCAACAUUGUUUGGAAUUCCAAGAUGCACCCUUGUGCACAAUAUGAGAUCAUUUGAACAAACCAUGCCAUGAAUGUGGCCAUAAGAUUGAUCAUUUGGCUUGAAAGCCAUGAAUCGUCACGCAUGAUAGCUCAUUUCUGAGAACACUUUUUUAAAAUAAUUACUAUAUUACAAGUUUAUUAUUUUUCCUGGAAACUUGGUCACAUAUAAUGACAUAAUGCGAAGGUUUUCCAAAUUUUUGAAUUUUUUUUGAAUUUUCUAUGCCCGUUUCAAAAUGCGGUCAAAACGGCGGGCUUGACCGUUCCUAUCUAGUGGUUGAAUCUUGGAAUUUUUUUGGUGUUUCUCCGAUUAAAUAGAUACUUAUUUACCUAGAAAUGAUUUUUGGAAAAAAUGAAGAGCAAACUAUGAGGCACCUUCAGUUCAAAUUUGACCCGCUUCCAACUGAAUCAGCGGGAAUUUGUCUUUUUCACCAGAGGUGGAUCAAACUUUUGACACCCAACCAUUUUGUCAAUUGUGCAUUAAAUAUGGCCUAAUAUUUUAUAAAAUUUAUUAGGUCCAAUUUUGCAACAAAUAUAUGGAUGUCCUUCACAAAAAAAACUCAUUUCAGGCACUCUGAAAAUGGAAAAUGGUUUUUUCAUCAAAAGAAAAUGAAAACUUCCUUAGGCAACAUUGGUUGCCAUUCCAAUAUGCACCCUUUUGCACAAUAUUAGAUCAUUUGAACAAACUAUACCAUGAAUGUGGCCAUAAGAUUGAUCAUUUGGCUUGAAAGCCAUUGAUCUCCACACGUGAUAGCUCGUUUUUGAGAACACUUUUUUAAAAUAAUUCCCGUAUUACAAGUUUAUUGUUUUCCCUGGGAACUUGGCCACAUAUCAUGACACAAUGCGAAGGUUUCCCAUUUUUUGAUUUUUUUGAAUUUUUUUUGCUCGUUUCAAAAUGCGGUCAAAACGGCGGGCUUGACCGUUCCUAUCUAGUGGUUGAAUCUUGGAAUUAUUUUGGUGUUUCUCUGAUUAAAUAGAUACUUAUGUACCUAGAAAUGAUUUUUGAAACAAAUAAAUAGCAAACUAUGAGGCAGCUUCAGUUCAAAUUUGACCUGCUUCCAACUAAAUCGGCGGGAAUUUGUCUUUUUCACCAGAGGUGGAUCAAAACUUUUUAUAGCAAACGAUUUGCUCAAUUGUGCAUUAAAUAUGGUCUAGUAUUCUAUAGAAUUGAUUUGGUACAAUUUUGUAGCAAUUAUUUGGGAGGUCCUUCACAAAAAAACCUCCUUUUGGGCAAUCGAAAAAUGGAAAAUGGUUUUUUCGUCCAAAGAAAAUGAAAACUUCCUUAGGCAUUAUUGUUUGACAUUCCAAUAUGCACCCUUGUGCACAAUAUGAGAUCAUUUGAACAAACUAUGCCAUGAAUGUGGCCAUAAGAUUGAUCAUUUGGCUUGAAAGCCAUUGAUCUUCACACGUGAUAGCUCGUUUCUGAGAACACUUUUUUAAAAUAAUUGCCGUAUUACAAGUUUGUUAUUUUUCCUAGGAACUUGGCCACAUAUAAUGACACAAUGCGAAGGUUUUCCAAUUUUCUUUUUUUUUAAUUUUUUAUGCCCAUUUCAAAAUGCGGUCAAAACGGCGGGAAUGACCGUUCCUAGCUAGUGGUCGAAUCUUGGAAAACUUUUGAUGUUUCUAUGAUUAAAUAGAUACUUAUGUACCUAGAAAUGAUUUUUGGAAAAUAUAAAGAGCGAACUAUGAGGGAGCUGCAGUUCAAAUUUGACCCGCUUCCACCUAAAUCGGGGGGAAUUUGUCUUUUUCACCAGAGGUGGAUCAAAACUUUUUACACCCAACCAUUUGGUCAAUUGUGCAUUAAAUAUGGCCUAGUAUUUUAGAAAAAUGAUUUGGUCCAAUUUUGCAAGAAUUAUUUGGUAGGUCCUUCACAAAAAAACCUCAUUUGGGGCACUCAAAAAAUGGAAAAUGAUUUUUUCUUCCAAAGAAAAUGAAAAUUAUCUUAGGCAACAUUGUUUGCCAUUCCAUGUUUGUUAUUUUUCUGAAAGCUAGUUCACAAUUGAUGACACAAUGAGAAGGUUUUUUAUUUUUUUGAAUUUCUGUGAUCAUAAAAUAGUUAACAUCUUAUUUUUAAAUCUGUCGCGACCAAUUUAGUUGGUCAUAAUGUUGUACUGCGUUCUGAUUGGUCCAUGGAGCAGGCACGCGGAUCAUGCACGAAACACCGUUGGAUCCUCCCGGAUCCAACGGCAGCCCUCACCCCUCGCCUCCCCCACCAACCCCACGUGACGCGAAACCCUAGCUCUGUUCUCUCCCGUUUUCCAUCCACCCCCCGCCUCCUUUGUUUCUUUCCCUCCCCCCUCUCUCCCGAUGUAGAUCCCCUCGUCGCCACCACCCACCUCCGCCGCUGUCCACGGCCCGCGCACAACAGAAAGAAGCCCGAGGUCCUCCUCCGAUGCUCCUCUGCCUUCCUCGCCCGUGAGGCUCUCUGCUCCACCUCGACUGACCGGCGUAAGAGAAGCCCUCGUCGGUCGCAGGUCCUCGACUCCACCGUCGCACCACGCAACCCUCGUCGUCUGGAUCCAGCCGCCGUCGCAGCCAUGCCGUUCUCCCACGCGACCCUACUCCUGCAAGAGCACCCUCGCCCUCGUAAGUGACCCACACACCCCUCUCAUCCGAUUCUCGAUUCAUCCAUUGCCUCACGGAUUAGAUCUGACUGACCGGACUCCAAUUCACGUUGCAGGUGGCCACGGUCUCCGCCGUCGGUGUCGCCGUCAUCUGGGGCUCUGUCAAGCUCAAGCAGGCGAGGCGGCCGCAGCGGAUUCGCAGCCGUUCCUGCCUCUUCUCGCUCCUCUGGUGCAAGCACGGCGCCUCCACCAACAUGUACGCCAUCCCCUCUUCCCCCUCCUUCCCCGAUCCCGCCCCCUCUUCCCACCUGCCCAUCCGGUUCAUCUCGCCGCCGGUCCCGCCCCUGGCUGGAUCUGGUGGGGAGGGGUUUGGCAGGCCCUUCCCUUCCGCUUCCCGCCGGAUCGCGGCGCGACAAUCGGGAGGGACCUCGAUCUAGGGUCAGGCCCGGCUGUCAGGUCUAGUAAUGAUCCCUGGCUUUGCAUUUUGGUUGGUUGUUGAGCCUUGUGUGUUUCUCGUGCAGGCCCGAGGAUGAGGAGGACAUGAAGGCGCGCAUCCACUACCGCUCCGCCAUGGUCGACGGUGUGGUCCAAGCGCUGGGCGACGACGUCUAUGUCAUGGUAAAAGAUCGACUCCGCCCUUUCCUACCGCGUCCACCCUAUUUUUUUCUAACAUAAUUUAGUAAUUUCUCCACUCGCACAGACUAGUUAUUGCUAAGGCAUGCCACGCAUAAAAAUGCUCCUGAUAGGAUUUGAAAUGGAUGCACUCUAGAAUGCUCAGAUUGUAUCUUACAAAAUGUCUUCCCAUUUUUGGCAUUAGGUUUUUUCUGAUUAUACAAUGGAUGCUCUGAAUGUUGCUUAAUGUAGAUCUGGUUGGCAAAGUUUGUACUACUUGUUUUCACAUUGUUCUUCACUGUGAACUUAAUUAUUAGGCAGAAAAUGUAUGACAACCAGAUAGUCGAGCUCUUGUAUUUUUUACCAUGCUUCAGUAAUCACUUCCUAUCUUAAUUUGUUAUCUGUUUAUUGCCAUUUAUAAGCUGGGGAUCUAGGUUACAUAUCAACAGUUGUCCAUGGUUUGUGCUAUGUGUGUACUAUGUGUCGAUGUAUUCUUCAUUUUAAGUCCAUUAUUGGGCAAAGACAAAUUUGUGUGUGCCUGGAAAACCUUGAGAUCUGUUUCAUUCUCGAUGCGUCUACUUCUGCGGUCAUUUAUAUGCAUCCAUUAAUUUUGUAUAACCUGUCAACUAAUGGUCUUCACUCUUGUUAUGUAGAUUCCAUUUGACUCUGGUUAUUACCGCUACAGUUUCUUGUUGGAUGAUGUAAGUUCUGAUCCAUUUUACCCAUGUGCAUAUUUGGUUUCUCCUUUCUUCCUAUACAUAAUAGAUGGUUGCCCAACAACUGUUGUGUCCCGCUCAUAUCUGUAAGAUGUUUGGUGAAAUUUUUAACUUAGCCUAGGGUGCAGUCAACUUGCUGAACAACUGACAAGUAUAUUCAUUGUUCUUGCUCUAUACCCCUAUUCUGAUACAUCUGACUUGUAUGACCUAUUUCUGAAAAUUGUAACUUAGCCUAAGGUGCAGUCAACUUGCUGAGCUCUUCCAAUGCUUCAGAUUAUAGCUUGCAUUUCAAGUGUCUGCCAAAUGCUAGCUGUUUGGUUCGAAGUCAUGUUCAAACCUAAAUGUAUAUGGUAGUAAAGCAUAUGCACGAGUUCAGGGCAUAUGCUAAUGCUAACAGUAGGUUUUGCCCAGUGUCCAGUUGUUAUUUACUUGCAAGUUUUUACUAUGCAAGGUUCAAUCAUGCCAUCUUUGCUUGUACUGCAUGUUAAUGUCAUCAAAGAUCGAAAUGUUGUUGACCCUGUUCUUUGAUGCUUAAAUGGUAAAAAUGUCGCAUUUUGCUUGUUCUAACCAUUUUUCUUGAUAACUUGCAGAUGCUGGCUUUCAUUCAUGUUUUGUUGUGAGGUCCAGGAUGAACAAGUUGGGAGAAGCAUUGGAACAAGUUGGAUGAACAAGUUGUGUUACCUGAUGUGAACAUUUUUUUUAUUGUAAACUUGAUGUGAACCAUAUUUUUUUGUAAUAAUGUGUUACCAGGAUGAACCAUCCUUGCUGUGUUACCAGGAUGAACAAGUUUGAUUGUAAUAAUGUGCCAUGUUUGGCUCUUUCUUAUUGUAUUCGUGAUGUGUACCAUAUUUUUCCUGAUUAGUCGUGCUUUGUUUGAAGCAUUUUGUUUUCUCUCUGUUCGGAUUUAAAUAUUGUUAUUUAUUUACUGGAAAAUUGAGAUCUGAAGAAUAUAACAGUGACAACUGGGACCCACUUGUUAGAACCUGACAACUGGGUCCCAUCUCAAUAGUGGGCUCAUCUUUUGGGAAAACUAAAAUAAAAAAGGCCAUGGCCUAGAAAAUAAAAAGGCCGAAUUCUUUGGCCAGGCCCAUGUAGCUAAUAAAAGCACAGGGAAAAAAUAUAGAAAGGCCGAAUUCUUGGGCUAGGACCAUGUAGAAAACCGAAUUGGACCGGGCUGAAUCUUGUGCCACAUCAGCUUGCCAUGCUAGAUGCCUACGUGGCCUUUAGAGGUUGCUAGUGACCAAAACGCCACAGUGGACAUAUUUUGGUCAUAAACGUCUUCGACCAUUCCAGAAGAAAGGUCGCUAUAGUCAGUUUACGACCGCCAGCUUUUGACCUUCUGUUUUUGGUCACAAAAAGGUCGCAAAUGAAAAACCAUGACCUUUCAGUGACCAAUAGUGUGUGGUCACAAGUUGACAUAUUUCUUGUAGUGAGGCUCAGGAGUUGGCUCAAUAGGCUCAGGAAUUGGCUCAGGAAGAGUCCAAUUAUUUUCAUUAGUCAACAUAUUAUUCAAUAACAAUUCAACUUGGUCGACUGUUCUUCCCUUGAAAACACAACCAGCACAACUAUCCAAGUGGUCCCUGGAAGCAUUGGUUAGUCCAUUAUACAAGAUAUCAAGUAUUUCAUUUUUCUUAAGAGGAUGAUCAGGCAAAGCAUUAAGUAACCGGAGAAGCCUCCCCCAAGCUUGUGGGAGACUCUCUUCUUCGAUUUGCACAAAAUUAUAUAUUUCCCUCAAGGCAGCUUGUUUCUUAUGAGCAGGGAAAUAUUUAGCAGAGAAGUAAUAAAUCAUAUCCUGGGGACUACGCACACAACCAGGAUCAAGAGAAUUAAACCAUGUUUUAGCAUCACCAUUUAAUGAGAACGGAAAUAUCUUAAGGUUAUAAUAAUAGAGAGAUUUCUCAUCAUUAGUGAACUGGGUGGCUAUAUCAUUUAACUUAGUAAGAUGUGCCACAACAGUUUCAGAUUCAUUACCAUAAAACGGAUCAGAUUCAACCAAAGUAAUUAUCUCAGGAUCAAUAGAGAAUUCAUAAUCAUUAUCAGUAACAAAGAUAGGUGAAGUAGCAAAAGCAGGGUCAUAUUUCAUUCUAGCAUUCAGAGUUUUCUGUUUAAGUUUAGCUCGUAACUUCUUAAGAUCAGAUCUAUCAUUGCAGGCAAAAAGAUCUCUAGCAGUUUCUUCAUCCAUAACAUAACCCUCAGGAACAACAGACAAUUCAUACCUAGGCGGAGAACCUUCAUCAUCACUAUCAUCAAUAAUUUCAUCUUCAAUAAUUUCAUUCUCUCUAACCCUAGUAAGUUGUUCAUCUAGGAAUUCACCUAAUGGCAAAGUAGUAUACAGCAUAGAAGUAGUUUCAUCAUAAGUAUCAUGCAUAGCAGAAGUGGCAUCAUCAAUAACAUGCGACAUAUCAGAAUUCAUAGCAGUAGCAGGUUUAGUUGUCGCAAGCUUACUCAAAACAGAAGGAGAAUCUAGUGCAGAGCUAGAUGGCAGUUCCUUACCUCCCCUCGUAGUUGAGGGAAAAAUCUUAGUUCUUUUGUCUUUCAAGUUCCUCAUAGUGAUCAGCAGAUAUAAAUCCCAAGUGACACAAAGAAUAGAGCUAUGCUCCCCGGCAACGGCGCCAGAAAAUAGUCUUGAUGACCCACAAGUAUAAGGGAUCACAAUAGUUUUCGAGGGUAGAGUAUUCAACCCAAAUUUAUUGAUUCGACACAAGGGGAGCCAAACAAUAUUCUUGAGUAUUAGCAGUUGAGUUGUCAAUUCAACCACACCUGGAUAACUUAGUAUCUGCAGCAAAGUAUUUAGUAGCAAAGUAGUAUGAUAGUAAUGGUAACAGUGGCAAAAGUAACGAUAGCGGUUUUGUAGUAAUUGUAACAGUAGCAACGGAAAAGUAAAUAAGCAAAGCACAAUAGGUGAAAAGCUCGUAGGCAUUGGAUCAAUGAUGGAUAAUUAUGUCUUAUGUGAUUCCUCAUGUAAUAGUUAUAACCUAGGGUGACACUCAUCAAUGUAAUGUAGGCAUGUAUUCUGAAUAUAGUCAUACGUGCUUAUGGAAAAGAACUUGCAUGACAUCUUUUGUCCUACCCUCCUGUGGCAGCGGGGUCCUAUUAGAAACUAAGGGAUAUUAAGGCCUCCUUUUAAUAGAGUAUCAGACCAAAGCAUUAGCACUUAGUGAAUACAUUAACUCCUCAAACUACAGUCAUCACCGAGAAGUAUCCCGAUUAUUGUCACUUCGGGGUUGUCGGAUCAUAACACAUAAUAGGUGACUAUAGACUUGCAAGAUAGGAUCAAGAACUCACAUAUAUUCAUGAAAACAUAAUAGGUUCAGAUCUGAAAUCAUGGCACUCGGGCCCUAGUGACAAGCAUUAAGCAUAGCAAAGUCAUAGCAACAUCAAUCUCAGAACAUAGUGGAUACUAGGGAUCAAAUCCUAACAAAACUAACUUGAUUACAUGGUAAAUCUCAUCCAACCCAUCACCGUCCAGCAAGCCUACGAUGGAAUUACUCACGCACGGCGGUGAGCAUCAUGAAAUUGGUGAUGGAGGAUGGUUGAUGAUGACGACGGCGANNNNNNNNNNNNNNNNNNNNNNNNNNNNNNNNNNNNNNNNNNNNNNNNNNNNNNNNNNNNNNNNNNNNNNNNNNNNNNNNNNNNNNNNNNNNNNNNNNNNNNNNNNNNNNNNNNNNNNNNNNNNNNNNNNNNNNNNNNNNNNNNNNNNNNNNNNNNNNNNNNNNNNNNNNNNNNNNNNNNNNNNNNNNNNNNNNNCCCGAGAGUGAUUAGGGCUUGGCGGUGGCUCUGUAUCGUAAAACGCGAUGAAACUUUCUAUCUGAUUAUUUUCUCCGUGAAACGGAAUAUAUAGAGUUGGAGUUGAGGUCGGUGGAGCUCCAGGGGGCCCAUGAGACAGGGGGCGCGCCAAGGGGGAGGAGGCACGCCCCCCACCCUCGUGGACAGGGUGUGGGCCCCCUGGCCUUGAUUCUUUCACCAGUAUUUUUAUAUUUUCCAAAAGUUAUCUCCGUGGAUUUUCAGGUCAUUCCAAGAACUUCUAUUUUUUGCACAAUAAACAACGCCAUGGCAGUCGUGCUGAAAACAGCGUCAGUCUGGGUUAGUUUCAUUCAAAUCAUGCAAGUUAGAGUCCAAAACAAGGGCAAAAGUGUUUGGAAAAGUAGAUACAUUAGAGACGUAUCACUCUUCUUCUAGGGAUGGUUCUACGCCGGCCAGGGUCCCUUGUGGGGCCUAUCCGGUGAUCGUGGGGGUGCCAGCCCCCAGCCCCCUGCUGAGAGGGGGCGAACAGCUUCAGGGCCUGCCACCAACGCCGGCAGCGGAGGACGACAUUGACGAUGUGCUCAAGCGGGUGCGGGAGCGCAACAUCGAUCGCCAAAAGUUCCUCCGGAAGGCGAUGGAUGCGACGGGCCAGCUUGGUGGGGAGCUCGCGGACAUGGACGCGCGUCUUGAAGCUGAAGGCAUGCGGCUGGUUGAGGAGCAGCGCAAGCUGAAGGUGGCAGUCAACCUUGCGCGCCAUUAGCGGGAGCUUGACAACACGAAGGCCGAAGCAUCCCAUACAGCCUCGCAGAAGGCCUGCUCUCGAGCUAUUGAGGAGGCUCGGGAAGCAGACCAACAGCGUGAGGUAACGGAGAAGCGCGCGUGGGAGCUCCAAGCCUAGAGCGCUUCCCUGGAGCAGCAGGUGGAGCUGCAUCAGGCCACCCUUGCAUCAUUGAAGGGGACGCUUGUCGAGGAGGAGGAGCUCUGGAGGCGCGAGGAAGUGCAGACGCUGGAGGCCGCUGAGUGUAAUCUUGACCUUGAGCGGUUGGAGACGAGGGAGCGCCAGGUUACCCAGGCGGAGGAUGAGGUUGGCGCACGCGAAGCUCAGAUCCAGGAGGAGGUCGACCGCCGUGUGGCGGAAGCUCGCGCAAAUCUUGAUCGCAGGUUCAGCCAGAGGCUGGAGCUGAUUGAAGUCGAGGCUGUGGGCAGGACGGCCGCCCUCAGGUCCAAGCUGACUGAGUUGGGGCAAUGCGCGGAGGCCGCCUCGGCUGCCCUGGUCUCGGCGCAGACUGAGUUGGCCUCCACCCGUGCCGAGCUGCUUCUUCUUCAAAGGCAGGUUGACGACGCUGAGUCCGUUGCGCGGCAGAACAAGGAAGAAAUUCUCCAGCGGUAGACGCUGGAGCACAUGCAUGGCCCCAUGCUCCAAAGGCUCAGGGAUAGGGCCAACACGACCCUAGGCAACAUCUGCGAUGUGAAUGCUCCGCAUCCACCCGUGACCAACUAUGUCGUCCAUCUCUAGUUCUUCACUAACGUAGUGACGCAUCUGGAGAAUCGCUCCGAAAGAGCUUGCCAGCUUAUCGAAUAGAGGAACCGCAUCCUGCUCGGGCGUGCAUUCUCCCUCGUCUUCAGCCAUCUUCAGGACAGGGACCCCCACUUCAACUUCGACGCCGCCAUUGCUCCAAUGCCCAUGGCCAUUCGAGGUGACCUGGCGCGGUGGGUGGAGGACAACAUGGAUGCACUUGUUAGGGCCUUCGCUUCUGAUGAUGACGGGGUGAUAGUUGGAUGGAGGCGACGUGGUCAAUGACGGCGAAGGCGGCGCCGUUAACAGCGACGGCGACGUCAGUGACAGUGACAGCGGCGCCUGUGAUGCCUCUGGAAGCGAGCAAGAAGAUGCGUUGAGCGAUAUGUCUGAGUGAUCCUGCGUCCCCCUGCUAUUUAUCCUGCACACAAAAAGCUCGGGCAUGGCCCUGAAGAUUGUAAGAGCAUUUAGGGAGGGGAAGCCCCACAUGUAAAAGGAUUGAUGUCCGCACACUUUCUUGGAAUGACGCUGAAUGUGCGCCUGCAUGAUGUUACUGGUCCAGCGAUGAGCUAGUUGUCAUGGUUUACCUUUAGCCCGGAUAAGCCUUGAGUAGGCUUGCGAGGCCGUGAUCCUCCGAGGGUCCUCUCGGGGACCCGUUGACCAUGUGGCGAGAGCCUCGCGAGAGCGAGUGCUAGCCGUGGGACGGCAUGCGCGUGUGCGCUUGGCCCAGCCCCGCCCACGAGAGGCUCGUGAGGUGAGGGGGCAGUUGGUGCGAACUCCGGACUAGGGCAGAAACCAGAACACGAAAGGACACAUGAACGAGACAAGACACCCCUUCCCGCAUACGCAAACACAAAUUCAAUUUCAACUUAAAUCCAAAGCAAGGAAGCUCGACCACAGAAAGGGGGGCAAAAAGCAAAAGGCCGCGUGCGGCACCUAGUCUAGUCUUCAACGUCUUCUCACCAGUGCGGAGCUAAGUGCUGCCACUGGGCGUGGGAGGGAGCCCCCGAGGCCCGAGGACGGCUCUCCGGAGACUCCGAGGCAUGUACAACCCCUUCUCAUUAUUACGUGAGAGUGUCACGGGCGGCGAGCUUCACAGGCACUGGGCCUUCUUCACAGGUACCGGCCUUGCUUCAUAUCGCCAGGCGAGGGGCCCGCCUUGCGCCACCCUCGACCACCAUCGACGGCGACCGGAAACCAAGGACGACACCAAUGGGGUAAAGGGGACGCCAACGGUUCCCCCGACGACCACGGGUCCUCUGCCGGGGGCAGGCUUUACAGCACCUCCCCGGCAGAGGUCCUACCUCCGAGAAACGCCUUGCUCCAUGCGCCGCGGGGAGGGGCCUGGCUCCCGGCCCCUCUCCUGUAGCCCCCAGUGCGCUCCUCCCGGUGGAAGGGAGGCUGCCAAGCUGGGGCAGCCUUCCGCCGCAGAAACCUGAACUCCCUGCGACCCAUGGUUAGCAUAAGCUUGCUCCUGAGGAAUUAGCGGUACCCGAUAGCUGCUGCCGCCAGCGCGGUCGGUGAGGCUUCCUUGAGGCUCCUGAAAAGGCCCGGCUUCUGGCGUAUUCCCGAUCUACCAUGUGGGGGUACGUAAGCCUCCGAGGUCGCCGCCUCGAAGGCUUCGUUGUAGUGCCCCGCACUCCAGCGGCUUGGCUCGAAGCGUCGUCUCGGGGGUGAUAGGGCGGCGGCCCGCCUGGGUCGUAGGCGGUGAUGCGCAUGCCCUCGCUCACCCGAUGUGGUGUUGGUGCAACUUGACGCCCUGCGCUAAUGGUUGAGCUGGUGUUGAUGAAGCCUUGGGGCACACCUGAGGGCGCACGGGCGCGGAUGGGCCCGACGUAUGAUCCGCCCGGGGCCUGGGGUGGAAGCUGGACGCAGAAAAGAGGCGCCCCUGAAGCUGCGGUAUCCAGGAGCUCGGCGACGCGCUCCAACAGCACAUCAUGGUCGCCCUCCUGCAUCCUGCACCCUAGCAGCUCCCGAGCCACCGUGAGCAUGGCCCUCAUGUUCGCUUGUUCCCGUCGGGUGUGCGGCGCCGUGGCUGCGGCGUGGUUUGAGGCCCUUGCUGCUGAUCGCACCUGCCGUGGAGUGAGGGCAGGCAGCGCUUGACCAUGUCGCCCGCGCCCCACAGCGUUCUGCGGAGCACGGGCUACCUGAGGCACGAGGUUGAGAUCACCUUGGGCAGGCGGCACAGCAUGGGCAGGCCAUGCCGCCCAGCGGUCGGUGUUGGCCGUCUGGUCGCUGGACAUGGAUGCGAUGAAGCAGUGGAACGCAGAUCGGCGGAAAGAGGAUUCUGGUGCACCCCUACCUGGCGUGCCCAAUCUCGGAUAUCGGGUUCCGGCAAAACCCUUAAGGUUCGAACCCUGGGGUGCACACGAAGAUCUUCUCCCUACCGAACUCUCCCACAACCUCGCCGCGAAUCUAAGCUAACACGAUGAACAACACAAGGGACACACGAUUUAUACAGGUUUGGGCCACCGUUGUGGUGUAAUACCCUACUCCUGUGUGUGGUGUGGUGGAUUUCCUCUUGGGCUGAUGAUGAACAGUACAGAGGAAGAACAGCCUCGCGAGGGGUGUUCUUGUGGUGGUGUGCUUGGAGAGGAGUUGAUCUGUCUCUGUUGGCUCUAGAUGAGAUCCAGAUGCCCUCUACUGUGGUGGCUAUCUCUAUUUAUAGAGGGCCUAGUCCUCUUCCCAAAUAUUGAGUGGGAAGGGAGCCAACAACGGCCAUUUUGAAAGGGUACACCUAGUACAAGCUAUCCUGACUAAAGGUGUGUAACAGCCCCAAAAUUGGGUUAUCAAUUUUUGUGUUGUUAUUCCUUCCUGGCACUCAUUUUCAAAAUCUUUCUCCUGAGUUUUGCUGAUGACUCUGAGAUUUCCUGUAAUUUCAAACCUUUCAAAACUUGCUCAUGUCUUUUUCAGUGGGCAAGACCUCAGUUGCAUCAUCUGAAACUCUCUCAAACCCUAAUUCCAAAAUUUUGGAAUUUGAUUGUGCCCUUUGUGAUUACAAAGGAGCUAUCAUUUUCCUUGAUCUGUUGAUCAUCUCAUCUGUUCCUAGAGACCCUCCUAUCCUUUUCAAACUUGGAUAUGCAAAAAUAUUGCCAAGUCCUAUGCAAUAUUUUUGAAUUUUGAUUUAUUCCUUUUCUUGCCUUUCUGAGGAAUAAAAUCCAAAGGCAUAGCUAGAUAUCUCCUAAAUUCAUGUGAAUUGGUGGAGUUGAUAAUUAUGCCUAACCCAAGCUCUAGCAGUCAUAUUGGCCAUAAUUAAAUAAGGAAAAUCGCCUUUUCUUAUUUUAUGCCAAUAUUGUAUUUCUACCAUUUUCUAAAGGAACUACUAUUUUUAUAGCAGGGAAAAUUCUCACAGAAAUUGUGGAGCUUGACCUUGCUAUAUAGUCACUAGUUCCAUCCUCAUCUCAUGUUCAUCAGUUCAAAAAUUGGGCACAUGAUCCAAUGCAAGUUUCUGCCUUCUCUAAAAUUUUGCAAAGGAAGUGCUUUAUUCCUAAUUCCUUCUGAGCUGAAAAUUUUCAGGGUGAUUAAUUUUCAUAAAUAACCCAUGAAUACCAAAGAUGAGAUCAAUCCAAUCAUCAUAGCUCCCUGUGCAAUUUUUCAAAGUUUCUGACCAGAUUGUCACUUUGUGAAGGAAGUACUUUCAUAGAGUUUCCAAAUGGGAUGAAACUUUUCCAUCCUCUCAAGUAUCCCAACUCAUUAUCCUUCACCCAAAUUCAGCUCAUUUCAUUGAUCUAUGUGAUCACAGGAGCAAUUCUUGUUUUCUGUCCAAAUUUUCGGCUUGUGAAGCGAGUAUAUUUUAUCUUGCUUUAUUAUGGCUGAAAAUAAUUCCAAGAGAUUGGCUAAUUUCAUGUGGCCAAUAGUUUCCUAGGAUUUUCUCAAGUUUCUGGUCCAAAGUAAUGCUUGUGAAGAAAGUACCAAUUUGGUGAGUCUAUUUGGUGUGAUAUUUUUACAACAUCUACUUAUGACCAAAUCAUGGGUAUUGCCAAGUUAUAGCUCAAUCUAACACUCACAGUGAGUGCUUCAUCAUGAUCUAGUUUCUGGACAUAUUUUAGCAGUUGUUAAGCAACUAUGCUAAAUAUUUGUCCUAAUGACCUCAAAACCCCCAGGACCGUAGUCCUUGAUACCCUAAGCCUUUCAGACAUUAAGUUUACCAUUUCACCUCUAUGGUUUUAUCUCCAGCAAGUUGCCAAGUUCGCAACAGCAAACUUGUGGAGCUCGUUUUACUCAUAUCCCUUUGUAUCUGCACAAGUGUUUACCAUAGUAACAAUCCAUCUUCGAAGGACUACGUGUUAGACAUGGUUUAACCUCAGUAAAAUCUCCAGAGCGCGCCAUGCCAGUGGUGACCACGCGUGUAGCCAUCCAAAACGGUGGUCUAGCCACUAUUCCCGUCGGUAGCGCUGCUCCAACUCUUCCUGACCUCGCCAUUAAUGUCUAGCAGCUCCGCAUCGUCGUCGCCGUUCGCCUGGAGCCCUCUACCCCUCUGUUUAUUUCUUCUCCGACGAGCCGUGCCAAAGGUCGACAGUGUGCGCCCGUGGCCAUCGUCUUCUUCCUCUCCUCUGUUUUCUUCCUCCUCUCGUUCGCGAGUGCCCCUCGUCUCCGUGAGCCUCUGGCGCUCGUCAGGAUCCCCCUCAUCGACUUCCCACUGCCUCCCGUGAGCUCUGACCGCGACUGCCGACGACUGCGCCGUCGCCGAUGCGCGGACACGUCGCCCGCCGCGUGCCACCUCCUCCUCUCCUCCCUCGAGCUCCUCCGCGGCUAUUUAAGCAGCUCCCGAGCCCCCCUCGCAGUCCCCAAGCCUCCCGUAGCUCUCUCCCCCUCGCCUCGGAGCUCCCCGUCUCCUCCCCAUCGCCAUGGCCGCCGCCUCGGACCUCUCUGGUUCCGGCGACCAGGGCCUCCCCUCGCUGUUCUUCCACCACCAGCGCCUCUCUCAAGGUCCGGCGAGCCUCCCCGUAGCCUCAGCCCCCUCAUCCCCUCGCCGGAGCGCUCGGAUUCCCGGUGAUCCCUCCUCUCUGCUCCGCGCCGAACCCCUCCCUCCGGCCAUCCCCUGCCCUGUCCGAGCUCAUGGAUGGAUGAGCCACACCCCAGAGAACCUCCCCAGCUCGUCGCCCGCCAGUUUCCCUCACCGGAACCCCUUGCCCACCGGAGACCGAAGCCCCCUCCGCCGCGGCCCCUGCUGCUCCCUCUGCAGUGCUCUUCGCUGGCGACAGAGACUACCACGGGAUGCUCCUCUCUCUCCUUAGCACGUGGGUGGGUCGGCGGUCGUCUGCGGUGGCCGGAGCCGCUGGGAAUCACCGUCAGGCCAGCCCCUGCCUCGGCCGGUCGAGCGCCCGAGCUGAAGAAGAAGAAGCGACGGCCAGGUGGGCGUUGACCUGGCUAGGUGGGCCCCUCGCCCCACCUGUAAGUUGCACUGGAGCCCGGCCCCGCCUCUGCCCUUUGACCCAGUCGUCGCCAUGUCAGAUUAGUGGAAGCGCCCCCGCCGAAGACGUUUCCUCCCACCGAACACGAAUUUUAGAAAAGACGCGUUCGGUUUAAAACUACCAGGGACCUGUUUGUAGAAGAAUUUUUACAAAUUAGUCCCUGAGUUUUGAACGUCCGUAUCUUUUUAACCGUAACUCCGUUUGAGGUAAAUCCGACGCCCACGUCUUCGUCUUGUCGAGCCCGUUCCAUUUCCAUCAUUUUCACUAUGGUCUGAAAUAUUGAAAAUGACCACUUUGCCCUUGUCCGUAAACAGCCCCCUCCGAGAGAGAACUGUUUCCGGCAAAUUUUUCCGCGGUCGUUUCUCACUUCUUCCCGGAGUAUUUGUCGACCCCCAGGCAAGCCAACCUCUUAUCAUGAGCCCUGAACUUGCAUGUUGACUUUGCUUGCGCCUUGUGUGUGUGUGUGUAGUUGCAGUUGUUUCUUAUCGUUUUCGUGUGCAGUUAUUUCAUUAUGCUUAUCAUGCAUGCUUGUGUGUUCAUGAUAUAUGUUGCCAUGAUAAUUAGGAUGUUGUUAAUGAUGAUGCCAUGUCACUACUCUAAUUUAUUUUCAUGUCAUCAUUAUAAAAUGCUAUGAUGAUGGUAAUGCACCGUGGAUAUGUUAUUACUUGGUAUUGUCAUGAUGCUGUAAGUGUUCACUUGAGAAACUCGAUGUGUUGUUAAAGCAUUUGUAUGAUGUAUGCUCAUGGUUGCAUUCAUGUUAAAAUGCUGGUAUGAUGAUUGAUGAUGGAGAAGAUAAUAAUAUGACUUAAUAAUAAAACCCCUCCGUCAUCGAUGGGAUCGAGUCAUAGUGCCGCCAAAUCGAACUUUUCCAUUGCAACCACAUUUGCCGGUAUGGGACGGCCUUAAUGCGGUCUAUUGUCGUGCCUCUGGUCGGUGCCUCCAACUAGGGAAGGUUAUGGGCGCACGCUACCCUGAUUAGGUAGGCAGACAUAAGCCCUGUGAGCCCGUUGUUAAGUUAAGUUUUUGGUACCGGAUCCCAGUGUGGAUCGUGGCCACGACGGUGGUCGAGGUGUCUGGAGGUAGACACGGGGCCACCCAGGACUAGCCCAGUGGGGAGUGAGUCGGAGUGGCCAGGAGAGUGUCAUGGCAGUAGAUCGGUUUUGUCGGAACGUCGUUGGUCCACCCGAAUGGGAGUGCGAGGCCAUGGGUUCUGUGGUGUGGGUAUAGUGCACUACCUUUGUAGAGUGUAUUUAAACUAUCGAUAGCCGCGUCCUCGGUCAUGGGCAUAAGUUCGUAGUAGGGUACACUAUCGGGUCUUGGUCGAAAUGGAGGAUAAACCUGAAAUAAUUAAGCUGAGUAAUGUGGUUGUGAUCGCCGUAAGGAUCACGGGCCAGCUGUUGGUCGGGUUGUGAUCGCCGUAAGGAUCACGGGCCAUUUAGUGGUCGGGUUGUGAUUGCCGUAAGGAUCACAAGUUUGUCUCUGUUGGUGAUCAGGAAAUGAGGUGAUUACCGUUGGUAAGAGAGUCCAAGGGACUCAGUGCACAAGUUUGGUUGUAUUGCAUGAGUAAUAUGUUUGCAUUUAAAGAACCAUGGUAGAUCAUGAGAUGGUUGAAUACAGUUAACAUGCUAUGUCUGCAUUUGAUAUGAUUGGUAGUUUAUUUAUGCCAUGCCAUGCUUUGAUUGAUAUGAUUGGGAUGAUAUGCUAUGUUUUGCUGUUGCCAUGUUAGAAGUAAAUUUGCUAUGCCAUGUUGUUGCCAUGCUAGAAGAUGCCAUGAUGUUAGUUUGAUUUAUGUCUUGGGUUGAUAUCAUGCCAUGCUUAGUUCUGAUAUGAGAUAGUUGUUGUAGACGCUUGGUUCUUGCUUUGUCUUCUCCUUGUUUGGAUGCUAUGUAUUUGGUUGUCUUGCAAGUACAUUCAAUGUACUGACCUGGCGUGUCAUGCCAGUUUUGUAGGUCGUACCCGAAUUGUUCGUGUUCCAUCGUGCUAGGCCGUAAUCUUGCCAGUCCUGUGAGUUGUGGAGCCCAGCCUGUCGUGGAAUUGUCACGGCAGAUGUCCUUAGUGUGAGGACUUAGUCGUGAGGGCAAUGCAUCUAUGUGGUAGCUUGAGAGGGGUUGGGCGGAAUCGGGAGACGCAACACAAGACAAGGAUUUAGACAGCUUCAGGCCCCGGGAAACAUCAUCCGGUAAUAACCCUACAUGUUGUUUGUGGCUAGGUCUCAUUAUGAUCAUGAGGGAGUCGCCGGUAAGCCGGCUCUUCGUGUCUAGCCCUAGAGAUUGUUUCUUCUUGCUUGUCCCUCUUUGGGGUGCCCCGCCCCUUCUUAUAUAAGUUAGAGGGGCGGGUUACAUGUGGAGUCCAAAUAGGAUUAGGACUAGCCUAUCUUCUCCUACAAGCCGCAUACAAGUCCGGGUCUUCAUUCCUUGUAAGAAAGAUAUUCCUCACGCCUUUCCUCUUAAGCCGCCCUUCCAUAACGUAAGCCGACCUUCUGGGCCUUGAGCCUCCUUGGCCCCUGGGUCUUGUCGCUCCUCUGGUCCGCUUGCCAGAUCACCCAUAAGUCGCCAGGAUCGGGCGGGUCACUUAGUGUGUUGUCCAGCCAGGGCGGGUCAUUAGUGAGUCGCCAAGUCCGGCCGGGUUAUACUUCCGGCCGGGUUACACCGCGGGGUAUAUCCCCGACAUUAGCCCCCAAGUUUAGCUUGGAUUUAUCCAUGGUAAACUUAUGCUGCAAAAUAAACACAAGAACAAAUUUGACAGGUUGUGCUCCGGGUUAAUAAUUCUUGUAAUCCAGCACCUGAACAUCCUUAAGUCCUUGUCAUUUCCUUCUUCUAGAAAAUCCAUGUCAAUAGACCAGCUUCACAAUCAAUUUGCUUGUAGAUCCAUUUGAGUCGGCUUCUAAAGCGCCGGCUUGAAAAAUAUAGGUCUUGAAAUACUCAUCUGAUUUUCAACCGGCUUAAAGAUGUAGAUCUUGCCGAGUUAUAAUUUCCAAAAUCUCCGGGUUAUCAAAGACUGAUGAUGUCGAGCCAUAAUUGUUGUUGACACCGGGUCAUGUAAUUGAUCUUCCUGAUUUACUUAAAGCUGAGAAUUUGAAGAUGUUCCUUAUUUAUAUGCAUAAUACCUGUAGCCCCCAAGUAUGAAGAGGAGAACAUAGUGAUAACUUAAGACUUGCUUCAAUAUAAGUGUUGCAACCUUGAAGAAAUCCGGGUUAUUCAUCUCAAUCAUUAGUCAUAAACUGAAUAUUCUCUUCCACAUAUGUAGCCCCCAAGUGCCGGGUUGUCAUGCUUGCAGAAACCUGGGACUUGUAAUUGCCUUAUGCUCAUAAAAACUUUAACCAGUGUAGCCCCCAAGGGCCGGGUCAUUAUGCAAUAAUGAGAAGGGACUUUGUAAAUAAUUCAUUAAUAAUAACAUCAUAUGAUGUAAUCUCCACCAUGGGGCUUGAACCCACGUCCAUAAGGUUAAGAGCUUUGUACUUUACCAAUUGAGUAGUGGAUCUCUUAAUGUACUGGACUGAGGCUUGUGUACCUUGAAUUUUUGAUAGGAGCAAUUGGUAGCCCCCAAGGGCCAGCUCAUUUAAAAUGUGAUGAGUCGGGUCUUCAAUAAGUUGAGCAAAAAUUGACUUUGCAUUAGCCCCCAAGUGGCAUGGUGCAUGCUGGCAGUGACAUGGGACUUGUAUAUUCGAUGUAAUCUCAAUUUGAAAAAUGUAACCCUCAAGUGCCGGGUCGUAAGCCUGCAGCGACUCGGGACUAUUCCUUUUAUUGUAGAAUAAAUCAUAUUAAUUGAUAAAAUAAUAGCCAUUGCGCUGAAGCGACUUUGAAAACCUCAAUCAUAACACUGGUUAUUGAUAAUCACAAAUAGAAAUCCAGCCAUGUUGGCUAUUUAAGAUUUGAACAAUAUAAUCCGGUAUGAAAACCUCAAUCAUUCAAUAUCAUCAUGAAAAUCCAGCCAGUUUGGGCUAUUAAAGAUUUGAAUAUCUCAUCGCUUGACAAGUAAAUUCGGAGUUUAAAUACCUGGCGGCUCUUGGCCGAUGCGCAUUCAUUGUAACCCGGUGGCGUAUAGCCUUUGAGAAAAUCAAGAAUUAAUAACCCUUUUGAGACAUCAAUUUCAAUCUUUGAUGAUGGGCUUGAACUUGAUCAUUUAUGUAAGCCAUAACUCUGUAGAUCCUGCACAGAGUUUAAACAACAUAUGCCCUGGUGACUUAAUAUCAAAAGCCAGGGCGGGUAACCACCCAAAUAUAUUCUUAUCCUACACACAAGUAGAUCACAAGAUCCCUAUGAUCCUUUGAAUGAUACCGCCGGUUUAUGUGACCCGGACAAUGAAGUUGAUAACUCAACUCUGUAAGAGCCGGCACAUAUGAUAUUUGUGACAACUCAAAUACUUGCGAUUGUAUAAAAAUAGAUAAAAAAAUUGAGGCUUCUGAUUCGAAUACGAUCAGUAAACCGUUCCAAAGGGGUUAAGCUAAGAUUCGAAUACGAUCAUAUAGCCCCCAGUGGUGUUGACGAUGCCGAGCAAAGUGGGUAUCGACAGCUAUGUUCUCUUUGGUUCGAAUACGACCUAUGUUUGAACAGGAAGCCCCCAAGUGACCUUAAGAGUUGUUUAGCGACGCUGAUUUGAAUACGAUCCACGUCAAUUCCCAAAGGGGUUGAGCUAUGAUUCGGAUACGAUCAAGAAGCCCCCAAGUAGGUUCAGCAGUUUGCUAAUCAAAAGGGUAUCGACAGCUAUGUUCUCUUUGGUUCGAAUACAACCUAUGUUUGAAUAGGAAGCCCCCAAGUGACCAUAUAAGAUAAGUCGUAAGGCAGGAUACCCAUGUUUUGAACCGUGCAUCAUGACAGCAAGUUCUCUUUGGUAACCAUUAAUUUGUCUGAGAUCUCGAACUUGCGAGAGAUUAAUUCUUUUUGAACCGGAAAUUCUUAAACCGGAUAUUGAGAUCCUCAAAGCUUUGUAAGGGACAAAUUUACGUUGAGCCGGAUGUUGAACCGGUUUUGAGAGCUUCAAAGAAUUGCGGGAGAGAGAUGUCUCUUGAGCCGUAUUUUAAACCGGAAUCUUCAUUUUGAGCCGGAAAUUUUUCUGACGGCUUUUAAAUAUUUGCCAAUAAAGCAGUAGCCUCCAGGGCCGGGUUAUCUUCCCUUCAAUGACCCGGAGUUCUUGAAUUCAUUGAAACCGGCUAAUUUUGCCGAGCCAUACCAUUGUAGCCCCCGAGUCUCAAGAUGACACGAAGAGUUGGCUUGAGAUUCUUCAUAUUUGACCAUAGCAGAAGGCGUAUAUCAUUGGCAUUGAUAACGCGAUAUGAAUCCACAGAAGGUUGAGGUGACUGCAGCGGGUUAUAAAUGAUUCUGUAUGAGCCGUGUCAGCAACUCGGCCAAUGGUUCCUUCCAACUGGCUAUUUGAAGUUAACCAAACCGUAGUGGCGGCGACUUGUGCGCCUGCCCAUUGAGCCAUCCAGUGCAGACGGCGGCUGAUAAUACAUUAUAAUUUGCCUCCAAUUUGUUGGAAGAAAACCGGGCUUCCCAAAUAGUGACUUGCUCACACUUAAUAAAUAACUCAUGCAGACAGGUGUGGUCCGAUGUGUUGAUGUAGACUAGGCCACAAGAGACGGACGGGAAAGACGACCGCCACAUCUGAGGCAGCACAGACUGAUGAAUCGACCACGGUGUUGUAAGCCGGUGCGAACGGGCAAGUUGUCCUCCUUGUUGUAAGCCGGUGUGGUCGCGAGAGACGGCCACGUCGUUAUAAGCUGGUGCGGAUGGGGAGAGCAGGCCGCGACAUUGUAAGGCCGACUCUUGCAGUGAACAGUUGUCCUGCAUAAACAAUAUUGCAAACCAAGGCAAAGAUAAACUGUUUUUUGAUAAAAAUAAUAUGUGUUAAUCAAACAAACUUGGAUAAAUAUCACCUGAUUCGCCCGAACAACAGAUGAAUCGGCUGUGGUACUAUAAACCGGUGCAGACGGGCGAGUUAAUCGCAGGCACGGUAAGCCGCGCGACAGUCAAGUCAAUCACGUUGUGUUGAUGUGGCGGAGGCGGCGACUUGCGCACAUAUCCGUUCAGCAGCACGACACGGACAAGCGCUAGUGCAAAAAUAAACUUGGCGCACACCCCUUUGAAACACCUUUAUAAUGUAUAAUUGUCCUGCGCAAAAUAUAUUGCAAGAAAGCAUAAUUGUUCUCGGGAUAAAUUAACAUGUAGAAAAUAGAUAGGAGAGAUAACACCUGGUAGUAUCGUGUAGUGGACGUAGAAGUUCACAGCAAUCAGUACCAGAUCAACCAAUUAGUACUAGUGCUUCUGUAGCAACAGUAGUCUAAACUCCUAAUGUCUCAGUUGGUAGGUCCCGUUCCGGGUUUUAUUUUCGUCCCACCAUUUUCGUCCGGUUUUUUUCGUCCUCAAUCCCACCUCCCACUUCCCCGUACCAAAAAGAAAACCAACCAAAACCAGGUAAAAAGGGAGCGAUGCCUCCAGUCCUCGCACGCCUCGCACUCGCAUGCCUCAAUGAAAAAAGACCAGCGAAAAAAGACCUACGGAAAAAGACCUACGAAAGAAAAAAUAGCGACAAAAAAUCAGGCGACUCGCACGCACGAGCGAGGCCUCCAGAUCCCUUCGCCACCGCCCGCCAGACCCAUCCUCGUCCCUGGCUCCCGGCGCCGCCCACCCCCCAUCUCCUCCUGCGAUCCUGGCAUCGCCUCGCCCCACCUUCUCCCUCACUCCCGGCGCCACCCCGCCCCCACCUUCUCCCUCACCACUGGCGCCGCCCAACCCCCAACCUCCAUGGAUCCUGGCACUGCCCUGUCCCCACCUCCUCCCUCGCUUCUGGCCGCCCAUGCCGCCUAUGCGCGCCCCUCCCUCAGCCCACCGACGACCUCCCAUCCUCCACCGUCUACCCCACCAUCGGAUCUCCUCCUCCCCUCUCCUUCUCUCCCUCGCGAACGCGUCAAACCCACGAAAUUUCCCUCCUCGCGGCCGGAACCCUAGCUCGCGCCUGUGGGUACUGGGCUGGAGGUGUGGCACGGGAUUCGCACCGCAGGAUUCACCAGCGACGAGUCCAACAGGUCGCCGAAUCGGGGAACGGGAUGGCGCACCCUGCUGCAGCCGCCGGUCGGGACGAGCGCGGCGGCGACGAACGUCAGUGCGCCUCCGUUUCCUCGACCUCCAAGGACGCGGGCGCCGGAUUUGUUCUCGCCUGACCAGCCUCGGUAUCCAGCUCCCUACAGCCACCGCCGGCAUCGAGUCCCAAGGUUCGAUCCGCCUCUCGCCUUUCCUCUUUCGAUUCACCCCGUUGAUUUGUGUGCGAUCGAUUUGCGUUUUUCAUGAUUCCAAAUAGCAAGCGCGGAUGACGACGCCGCCAAAGAUGACGAGGCCCCGAGCUCGAGCACGACCACUACGACGCACUACACAAAGGCCCCUGCUUCUUGCCUGCCCUUCCCUUUGCUUGGGUAGCUCCUCCCUCUCCCUCUCCUUCAAAGAACUAAUAUUUAGUUUCAUUGCUUUUAUGUGUGCAAACGUUUUGACCGCCUCCAUAUGGUUGUUUAUGUAGAAGAUAGCUCUCUUCAGAUGUUGUUCCUGUCCUUCUCCUUGGUUGUUGAGCGCUGCACUCACUCAUGUAUGCAGGUUGAGUCCAAGCACAAGUAAGCACCAUUAUGUAUGCUGAAAGACGACUAUGUUCAAUAUUCAUUUUCUAUCCUGGUUUGUCGAUUUGUGUGUGAUUGAUUUGUGUUUUUUCGGAUUUCAAACAGUAGGCGAGAAGACGACGGUGACGCAGAGGAGGACGAGGACCCGCGCUCCAGCCCGACCACGACUAUGCACCGCACGGUCCCUGCUUCCUGGCUGUCGCCAAUUGCCCCCUUCCCUUUACAGUACUACUCUAUUUGUUUUCAUUGCUUUUCACCCAGUUUUGCACACUUUCUGGCCCUUCACUUUUUUGUGUGCAAAUGUUCUGAUCGCCUCCAUAUGGCUGUUUCCGUCCUCCUGCUCAUGCUGUCUCCAUCCUCCUGCUCAAGUAGUCGCGGUCGCCUCCCAUCCUUCAUGGCCUGCGUGUGUGCGCCCACUGUUGGAGGACGACGUUGAACAUGAAGCGGAGCCCAGCCGGAGCAGUCUGACGCGGUGGUCGUGGCCAAGGGGUGGUGGUCGAUGCCAUGGAGCAGGGCCCCUCGGUCGCUUGCACACCGGCUGCGUUCUGGACUAAUGCUUUCUGCAACUGCAAUGUUCCCCUCCACAUUGUAUCUUGUGUAGGCAGAAGGAAUGCAGCUCAGCGACGGCGUCGACUCCAACUGGAUCGAUGGCCUGAAGGCUUUUACUAAGAAGAUGAAGAAUGUUGUAGAAUAGUGUCCAUCAACAAAGAGUCCUACUACUACCGGUUGGAGAGGCUCUAUCCUCAGGUGAUUGAUUACUUAAGAAGUAUACUGAAUUAUGAUAUCCAUCGAUCUAAUUUUGUAUAGGAAUUUUUAAAAACUAAAGAAUCUGUGGUACAUGAUUUAAUUUACUCAUUUAGAUUUUAGUAAAUUGUGAACGGAAGUUUUUUUCACAAAACCAAUGCACCACCCUUUCUACACACAUCAUUCAUGGAUUGGCAGACUAAAGGUUCUAUUCAACAUCUUUGGUGGAUUGCAUAAAUGGGCUAGAGUAAAAAUAUACCAGAAUUGUUAUAUGUGCUUAGGGAAGUGGGAUUAGAUCAAGAUUUUUUUGACAAAAUGAGAAAUCAAUGGCUCAAGGAGAGUAAGCCCAAAGAGAUAAGUAUUGUUUUCCUUUAGUAGCUUGCCGCAUAAUUCAUUCAAACAUAUUUAGAGUGGAGCAGGAAUAUUCAAACAAGGAAAUGUGCACAAUAUCUGUUAGUAUACAUGUGACACUUUCCCCUCUUUCGACUAAUGAUUGCCUCCUGCCGGGUAUCACUAAUAGCACAUUCAUCACAUCAUUUGGGUAGCUCAUUCUGGUGUAAGUCGGGCCAAUUUAGAAAAGAUUUUAAAGCAGAUUCAUACAGGUUAUAGAAGUCAGAGUCAAAUAGUAUAAUAAGUGAUUUGUUUGUGCAUAAUUUCUAAUUGAUCGUCUUCUAAGGAUAAAUGGAACCGCUACCUUUCCUCUCUCCAAUAAACUAUUAGACCCUGGUUGUAACUAUUUUCAUCUUGGUGUGAUUUAUAAGGGAGGCCAUGCCAUUAGUUUUUUGUUAUUACAUGCUGUGAUGACCCCGAUUCAUUGAUGUAUAGUGUCGUAUGUGGUCAAUUACCUAAUAUGGUAGUUACACUUCUCCUGGUUUGCCUUGGUCUAAAAUCUGACUUUUGGACUGAUUGUAGUCAAUCUGAAUUAGUGAGGUUCUUUUUUCCAACUGUCCAUGUUCAGUUCUCUACAUUAUCAUGCAUUUUCUUUGGUUUAAAGAUGUCAUGAUGUUCACCAAGGCAGAGAAGAAAUGUUUUAAAGUUGUCCCUUCAAUUGAAACAAGUAUGACUUGGUCCUUAGUGCCUAUGCAAACAUGAAAACGGAAGGUCGAGAGGUUUAAAUAUGUCAUGAUGUUUACAAUUGCGGAUAUCCUGCUUCAGGUACUUGCCUGAUAACUCACAAUUUCAACACAGAAGUUACUAAUCUGUAAGACAUGCCCUCUCUCAUUCAAUGAUGUCCUGAAAUUUUCACACAAAGCUUUGUAAUCUUGCCAAGUAACAAGAGAGCCAAGUAAUCAUGCGAAUUUUCAGAGAACUUCAAGUGGCAUGCCACCAUUUGCAAUGGUCGUGAUGUAGUGAUAAUUAAUAAACUGCAGGCCUUCUAAAUAUUCUAAAGUUGCAUAUCUAAGAGCAUAUUAUAUUUCUCAUAAACAACUGGAGUUAAGCUUCUAUCCUCUUCCUGUCUUAAAGGAAUUAUCUGUUGAGUAAGCUAUAGUCUCUUUGUUUGACUAGCUAGGCUGUGUUACAUACAUGUAUAAGAUGAUGCUUCUGUGGCUAUAACUGGUGCCUGCCGUGCUAAAUAGGAAGCACCCUAUUAAUUACCCACCUCAAUUUCAUUAGUGCAUUCGGCCUGUGAAUUUUACCCCAGACUAUAAAUCCCCUCCAAACGAAACCCUAUAGGUGUACUAUGACUCUUAAUAGUGUAUCCUUGUAAAAGUCAGUGUGUUGGGUUAUUUUUUUGGUGUGGUUAGAGAACUCGACUCCAUUUGGAACGAGGGUUUGAGUUUUAUUUUUCCUAAACCUUUGAAAGGCAGAGCCAUGGAAUUAUUUUGUGCUCUCAUUCCUCUGGAUGGAAGCUCUAACUUUUCCUCUUUGUUUCCAAUAAGCUACUUUCUUCGAGAUUGUGCAAUGAAGGAUUUUGAUGGUAAGGGAUCGUAGAGCCUCGGGUGACUAGCAUUAAGAUAGGAAGGCUAUUGCCGCCCUUGUCCCUUGCUGCUGGGUUGCCACAGUGGCGUCAAUCACUGGCUUAUUUAGAACAAUAGUUAGUGGAUUUUGUGAUAAGGGUGAGGGCCGAGAGUGAGAGGGACGGGGUUGGGAUUGUUCUGUUGUAUGCGUGAAAUUAUUUCCCUACUUUAGAAAAUAUGGCAAAUUGCAUUUCAUUAGAGAUUGAUUUACAGCAAAUUGCAUGAGCGAGUGGUUCAUGCAUUUUUCAUCAAGUUGUACAUUUUCUUGGUUACGACAUAAGGGUAAAUGUACUGGUUGGUUGCUUCAAGACUUAAUAACAGACACUAUGACAAUGGCUCAAGAGAUAUCAGAUCUACCUUCUUGGAUGGGGGCGUUAUGGGUGGCGCACGCCUCGGCCCCCUUGAUGGCCGUGGUGGAUGGACAUGAACACGAGGGGGGAUCAGGGCGGAGAGCAGGGUGGUUGGCGGGGGACUCAUCCUUGGCAGUUCAUGGGAAAGUAUGGUGUGAAGCAGAGGGGGCGCCAUGGCGAAGGUGAGGUAGCCGUCAUCCGGUCAUCUGUACUCCUAAUGUCUCAGUUGGUAGUCUCCGCUCACUGGUUAAAUUUCGUCCCACCAACACCGGGUUUUUUUGUCCUCCCUCCCACCUCCCACUCCCAGCUAUUCCCACCGGCUUUAUUUUAUGUGAUCUGAAUCUGAGCGAGUCUUAAAUUUUGGUGCAGUGUGAAAGGAGGAAAAUGAUCACCGGAAAGCAGGUAGAUCUACACCUUGAGAGAUGGCAUUUUGCGGUACAUUGUUUAGGUAAGGAUAUUGUGCUUUCUUCUGAAAACUCUGGACUGUAUAUUGAGUUGUGUUCCAUUUUUUUAAAAUUACUUAGAAUCCUGCUUCUGGCAAUACUAUGAACUGGCAUACCUCGUGAUCAUGAGAGGAUGACAAGUUCCUGAUCCCCAAGAACGCCCUCAUGUGCGGCUGCCGGUCGUCGGACAAGACAUCUCUGACGACUUAGCCACACAACGAACCUAAGUUCGUCAUGGGAGGAUGUCACCUUGGACUGGAGCAACAGACGUCGAAAAUUUACUAGGAAAAAAGGCUCACAAAUAAGAGUGACCCAAACACAAAUUGUCGUACGUUUGCAAUUAAACUCUUAGUAGCAGCUUGAUUCUUACUAUUGUUACUUUGGUGGUGGGUAUAAUUAGUCAUGUAGUAGCAUCUUAGCUUCAUCUUAUUUCUUGAGAUCAUAUCUAGCUAUCAGAUCUUCAAGAGUACACCAUAAAAAUUGAAAGGCCUAUCAGCUUCAUAGAAGAAAGUUAGUCUUAUGAUAGAAGAAAGGCCCAUCAGCCCUUACAGUGCCUGAUUGGUUAGCGACUGCUUUUUAGGCUCAACUGAUUACUGACUACGUCCAACAACAUAUGAGUGACAUGACCAAGUAGAAGUAAAUUUCGUUGUGAUCAAGAUGGUGCCUUUAUUUUGGAAAACACGAUUGAGAUGGGUAGGCGCAUGGGCAUCUCACCGGAACAAAUAGACAGACUGAUUUCACUCAUACACAGGUUGAUUAUAUUAUACGGUCAACUCACGAAGUAGCCGGAUACCUUCUGCUUGAAGUUUGAAAGCCAUUAGCAUGCUAAAUUAUAUGGAUGUGCUGGUCUUGACGUGUGUGCACGUACAUGGUAAAAUAAACUUGAGUAAUGAUUAAUACCUUGUUUACUCUUUUUUUGCUUUACAGGUAUUUGGAUAUCUAUUAUCAUUCAAGAUAUCUUAAGGAGAAAUUUGGUUUUUGAUGAACUGAAACAAUAUACCAAUAAAAAUUUAGCGCUUGGCUGUACAUAUGAAUGUUAACUUUGUUAAAAUAAUUCUCCCUUUAUAAGAGAAGAUUUCUUAGUUCAAAUAUAUUUUUUGAAAAAAUAUAGUAUUUUCCUGACAAUCCUUUUGAUUCUAAAACAUCCAUAUCUCAGAAGGAUAAUAGUGGUGUGUUUAUGUUGCUUUGGGUCUCUUAUCACUCGGAUCAUUCAUCAGAAAAAUAUUUCAAAAAUAAUUCUAUUUUGACGUUUCCUUUGUGUUCAUUGUUCCAUCAUAGUAGUUUAGGUUCACAUCAAACCAGACCAUAUGUUUCAGUUUCACUCUUUGGACCAUGAUGGUGGUGUGCAAGGUGGGCUAGAUCGUAAUACUAAAAG
rnacentral:lncRNA from 1 species